rnacentral:rRNA from 1 species
AGAGUGAACGCUGGCGGCAGGCCUAACACAUGCAAGUCGAACGGCAGCACAGGGGAGCUUGCUCCCUGGGUGGCGAGUGGCGGACGGGUGAGGAAUGCGUCGGAAUCUGCCUUUUCGUGGGGGAUAACGUAGGGAAACUUACGCUAAUACCGCAUGCGACCCUGUUCCGGGAGGUUCAGGGUGAAAGCGGGGGACCUUCGGGCCUCGCGCGGAAAGAUGAGCCGACGCCGGAUUAGCUAGUUGGCGGGUAACGGCCCACCAAGGCGACGAUCCGUAGCUGGUCUGAGAGGAUGAUCAGCCACACUGGAACUGAGACACGGUCCAGACUCCUACGGGAGCAGCAGUGGGGAAUAGUUGGACAAUGGG